rnacentral:rRNA from 1 species
CGUGGUGCUGCGGUAUACUGCCUUAGAGUUUGAUCCUGGCUCCAGUGAACGCUGGCGGUAGGCCUAACACAUGCAAGUCGAACGGCAGCACAGGGGAGCUUGCUCUCUGGGUGGCGAGUGGCGGACGGGUGAGGAAUGCAUCGGAAUCUACUCUUUCGUGGGGGAUAACGUAGGGAAACUUACGCUAAUACCGCAUACGACCUACGGGUGAAAGCCGGGGACCUUCGGGCCUGGCGCGAAAGAAUGAGCCGAUGCCCGAUUAGCUAGUUGGCGGGGUAAGAGCCCACCAAGGCGACGAUCGGUAGCUGGUCUGAGAGGAUGAUCAGCCACGCUGGAACUGAAACACGGUCCACACUCCUACUGGAGGCAGCACUGGGGAAUAUUGGACAAUGGGCGCGAGCCUGAUCCAACCAUGCCGCGUGGGUGAAGAAGGCCUUCCGGUUGGAAAGACCUUUGGUUGGGAAAGAAAAACACCCUGUUAAUACCCAAUUGUUCUGACGGUACCCAAACAAUAGGCACCGGCUAACUUCAUGCCUACACCCCCGGUAAUUCCAAGGGUGCAAGCGUUACUCUAAAUUAGGGGGCGUAAAGCCUGCGAAUGUGGGUGUUUAAAUCUGGCGUGAGAGCCCUGUGCUCAACCUGGGAAUUGCGAUGGAAUCUGGGCGACUAUUGUGUGGGAGACGGGACUGCUAUUCCUGGUGUAACAGUGAAGUGCUUACAGAUGAAGAGGAACAUCCGUGACAGAUGCGACUGCAUGGGCCUGGACUGACACUGAGGCUGGAACGCCUGUGGAGCUGACGCGAUUAGAUACGCGGGAGAGUACACGCUUUAAACCAUCCGAACUCGACGUUGUGUGCAAUUUGGCAUGCAGGAUCGGAGCUAUUUCGUUAACUUUAUCGAAUGGAAAGUAUUGUCUUAAGCCCUCAGACUCGUACGAUCUCACGGCUGCCCGCAAAGCAGUUGGACUGUGGGGCUGUACUUCCAUGGGGACUCUGAGGAUCUUUUCUGUGCUUUGACAUGUAACGUACUCUCGACAGAUGGAUUUGUGCCAUUCUGCAAACGAAUGGAACACGGGUUGCUGCAUGGAACUGUCGAUCACAUCGGUCGUGCAUGAGAAUGUUCGGAUUACUGUCCUGUACGAUGCUCUAGCCUAAGUCCUGGAUUGACAGCCAACCUAAUUGGGUCGCGUGUAAAUCUGC